rnacentral:rRNA from 1 species
GAUGAACGUUGGCGGCGUGCCUAACACAUGCAAGUCGAACGGGAAGUACCUUUCGAGGUACGGAGAGUGGCGCACGGGUGAGUAACACGUAACUGAUCUGCCCUAGAGAGUGGGAUAACUAUUGGAGACAGUAGCUAAAACCGCAUAAGCUCACGUUGUUUAGAAAGACGUGAGAAAAACUCCGGUGCUCUAGGAUGAGGUUGCGUCCCAUCAGCUAGUUGGUGUGGUAAAGGCACACCAAGGCGACGACGGGUAGGGGACCUGAGAGGGUGACCCCCCACACUGGAACUGAGACACGGUCCAGACUCCUACGGGAGGCAGCAGUGAGGAAUAUUGCACAAUGGACACAAGUCUGAUGCAGCGACGCCGCGUGGGCGAAGAAGGUUUUCGGAUCGUAAAGCCCUUUUCUAUGUGACGAGAACGGACGGUAGCAUAGGAAUAAGUGUCGGCUAACUACGUGCCAGCAGCCGCGGUAAAACGUAGGACGCGAACGUUAUCCGGAGUUACUGGGCGUAAAGCGCGUGCAGGCGGUCAAGUAAGUUACCUAUGAAAGCUCUCGGCUAAACUGGGAGAGGAUAGGUGAUACUGCUGGACUAGAGUGAGGUAGAGGUGAGUAGAAUUCCAGGUGUAGUGGUGAAAUGCGUAGAUAUCUGGAGGAAUACCAGUGGCGAAGGCGGCUCACUGGCCCUCAACUGACGCUGAGACGCGAAAGCGUGGGUAGCGAACGGGAUUAGAAACCCCGGUAGUCCACGCUGUAAACGAUGUACAUUAGAUGUUCGUGUGCCUGCGGGUAUAUGAGUAUCGAAGCAAACGCGAUAAAUGUACCGCCUGGGGAGUACGGUCGCAAGGCUA